CUUUUACACACCAAUCUUCAGAUAAUUUGAUCUCUAGAUUUUAGACGCUAAGGUUCGGAGCGGAUCCAAUUCUAAGGGUAAAAAACAAAAUGUGAGAGGAAGAAAGAGAAGGUGAUAGGAACAGGAGGAAGGAUUCCUACUUCCACAAAUCCACCUACCCAAAACGCUUCAGAGCGCAAAUCCAACGGUAUUGUGCUGCAUUUGUGUUCGACUAAAUUUGACAAACCCCACAACCCUCCCCUGUCCACUCUCGCAAACACAUGGCGAGCUCCUCCGUCGUCGCCUUCAACCCCCUCACAGGGCGGAGAGCGCGCCAACGAGCAGCCGGAUUCCCGCCCAAAUCACGUCCAAGGCAAGUAUCAAGUCCAAAUUUUGGGAGUGUGAAUUUCCGAAAACCCCAAUCUGUAAAAUUCAAAUGCGGCUACUCCAGCUUCGAAGUUAGCAAUGUCAGCUACCAACCGCCGGGGACUGAGCUCAGCCUCCUCAGUGAUGUUAGCUUUUCGCUUCCGGAGAAAAGCUUUGGCUUAAUUUUUGGGCGGAGCGGUAGCGGAAAGACUACUCUUGUGCAGCUUCUUGCAGGGAUGAGCAAACCAACUUCAGGUUCAAUUUACAUUCAAAAAUAUGGAAAUGAUGGCAACCCAGUUCAGUCUCCCGAACCCUUAUCAGCCGGAAGAGUUGGCAUUGUGUUUCAGUUUCCGGAGAGGUAUUUUGUGGCAGAUAAUGUGCUUGAUGAAGUUACAUUUGGGUGGCCAAGGCAAAAGGGUGAUCUUCAAAUGAAGGAGCAUCUUGCUCUGAGACUCCAAAGAGCAAUCAAUUGGGUUGGUUUAAAUGGCAUCUCAUUGGAUAGAGAUCCUCAUUCCCUAAGUGGUGGCUACAAACGUCGGCUUGCCUUGGCAAUUCAACUAGUGCAAGUCCCUGAUUUAUUGAUACUGGAUGAACCUCUUGCCGGUCUUGAUAACUUUUAUUUGAUCAGAUUGGAAGGCACGUGCAGAUGUUGUGAAGCUUCUCAAGCAUCUAAAGAAAGAAUUGACUAUACUUGUUGUCAGCCAUGAUCUCAAGGAGUUAGCAGCUAUAGUGGAUCGUUCUUGGAGGAUGGAGAUGGGUGGGGUUCUUAGGGAAGAGCCCCUACCCGUUUAAUUUCAGCAAUAUGCUGCUGCCUCUUGAUAAACAUCGUCUGCUGUACAGUAAAUAGCUAUAGUGUUUGGAUUCAAGUCUAAGCAUCUUCUGGAUGGAGGAGGCAGCAGGACAAGGUUGAUGGCCCUGAAUAUUAGCAUCUCAUGCCUUCAUGAGCAUCUCUGGAAGUUAAUUGAUUAGGAAAGGGUAAAGCUGCUGUAGGCUUAGAGACAGAGUCAUUAGCCAUGCACGCGUACAUCUUCGAUUGGACCUUUUUACAAGUGGGCUCGAUCAUUCCACAACGCAAACGAAGGACUGAAGAGAAAGUGAAGAGUCCAUACAGAAAAUAUAUUCAUAGUUUGUGCAUGUAAACCGAUUUUUUAUUUCACUUCUAAGCAUUGACAACGGAACCACGAAAACAGUGGAUAAAUACCUUGAAAGAAAGGAUGCUAGCUCUGGGACGAAACUGACACCCGAAGAAGAAGAAGAAGAAGAAAAACUUAGAUACGGUCCUUGUGGAUGUUGUGGAAAGGAGAAACACCGCGCAACUGAAAAUUGCCCUUCUGGAAUGUGAGGUAAACACAUUUGUAAUAUUUAACUUAUGUCCGUCUUUUGUUCAAAAACAAAAACAAAAACUUAUGUCAGUCUUUUAGAACAAGAAGCCUUAUUAUUAAUCAAGUGCCGUUGAGGUCGGUGGUUUUUAACGAUCGAUGUAUGUAUCAAUGGCGAUUGAUUUGGUGUUCGAAUGAAAAGUUUGUGUGAAUUAGCAUAUGAUUUAUGCUUUAA